rnacentral:lncRNA from 1 species
AAGUAGAAUCGGCGCAACCCCCUUGCCUAUAUUUCUCCAUUUUUGAGAUGACGGAACCCUCCCUUAUAAGAACCCGAUGCCAUCACCUCCAUCCUCAUUUUCUCUGAAGAAUAAAAAUGCCUCUCAUUCUCACAAUUCACACACCUCAACCCCUCACUCAUAAAACACACAUAUCGGAAGUCAAUUGAAAAAGAAGGAGAAGCUAUUAACUAAAUCUUAGAUCUGUAAUCCGAAAAUUUCACAAAAAGAGAAGAUAGAAGACCAAGCUUCAUUCUUGUUCGACAUUGCCACUUUCCUCUUUCAUAUUCUGGGUUCUAGAUGUUGUUGUGGUUGAAAACGUGGCCCUGUUCUUUGUUUGGAUCUGCUGAUUUUGCUAUUAAGGACCAUAAGUGUGGGUCCACAGGUGCGAGGUCAGGUCCACAUCAACCGGAACCUAUAUAAAGGUUCCGUCGUGAUUUUUUCCUGUUCUUUCACCAUUUUCAUCCAGAUUUUGAGCUUUUUGGUAGGUUUUUGAGAGAGGAUUCAAGAGAGCAUCAUGGAGGUAAGAUUUUGGAACCUAAACUCGUUAUGGUAUUUUUAUCAUUGUAAGCCUGAAAUGUGAAGGAAAAUUGGUGAUAAAUUGGGCGUUAGGGUUUGGUUAAUUAGAGAGCUUGAGUGAUGAUUUGAGGGACCAUCUAAGGUCCGAAUUUGGUACUUUUGGUAUGAAUGAACUCGUGAGAGGGUGAGGAUUCUAAAUUUUAAAAUUUUAUCCAAUUUCGAGAGGUGGGCUCGUGGGGGCAUUGAUCACGCCUAAUUCUACUCCUAAUAAGGAUAAGCGGUUGCUACAAAUAUAAUCUGGUCUAAAAGCCCGAAGGUGAACCCCACAGAAAACUAAGGCUUAGCUAUAUCUAUUUAAUCACCAAGAAGACAAGUUUGAAUAAUUUUCUAAAUUAUAAAUAUUGAGAUUUAUAUUUCUAACUAAUUAACUAGCAAAUACUACAAAGCGGUAAAAUUAUCAACUAAGAAAACAAAGGGUUGGAGACUAAAUUAAGGAGGUCUAGAGCUAUGAUUUCCCCAAUUGUCAGAAUCCUUCAAGCGAUGUUCCCUAUAAUUUUUGCCAAUGUAUUCUCUACUGAUCAUGAGCACUUUAGGUGCCGUAAUUCUCUCUCGAGCAACCACAACAAUUUACUAGACAUAUUCUCUCAAACUAUACUAGUUGACUUUAUCUAAUAACUGAUUAUGAUCACGUCAAGGCUUUGUAAUUUCUAAACCUGCCUUUAAACCCGAUGUAUUGAUUUCUCACAUAUAUUAGGAGUGGCGUUGUUCAACAACCACCUAAAUAUGUAUCGUUUCUCAAGAAACACAUAAUAAAUAGGCAAAGUCAAUCGAUGGCUAUUCAAUCAACAACAAUAAACACGUAGUUGAACAAGUAGAGAAAUCCAACGACUUAAUUAUAUAAAAACUUAACAAGAAUUUAUCCUACAAAAAGUUCGAUCAAAACCCUAGAUAAAAAAUAAUAUAUUCAUAAUAUCAUGUAAAACUACAAUGCUAAAAGUCAUAAGCAACAAUGAAAAAAAAGGAAGAGGAAGGAAACUCGUAAAAGAAUUCUCCGCCUUGCUCUUAUUAUGUCUUUGCCUCCUUAGGUCGAAUUAGUGUCAAAAAUCGGUCUCCUCCCCUCAAAAUACCAUUUUUCAAUGUAUAUAUACCAAGUAGGGCCGGGAACUCCUAUGCGGAAAAGGACAUGUUUUCAGGCCUGGAUGGCCACGGUCCGGGCACGGCACAGACAUGAUAUUUGGCAAGUAUACUGCCUUAAACCGUCUUAGGUCCUCGGUCGUGGAUUUGACCGUGUUUUUCAUGCUGUUUCAUUUGGAAUUUCAAAAAACAUAAAUUUGAAAGUUGUAACCCUUUGAAUUAGAUUUUCAACCAUAUAUUAUGGAGCCCAAAUGGAGUUCUAAGCGAAAUAUGUGCAUUUUCCUAGAUAAAACGCAACAUGCCUACUCGAUUCUUCUUUUUGUUGCUCCAUCAUAAGUUGAACCCCGAAUAUGACCCCCCCUUAAAUCCUUGGGAUUUUACUCAGACUUCAAAGUUUCAAAUCACUUGAGUUCAUUCUAUAACAUAUAUAUAGCACAAAAUUACUCCUACAAGUCAUAAACACACACAAUUAGUGUAAGACACUAGAGAUUAAAGCUCAAACUCAAUUAAAGUGUAGUAAAUUUGAUGGUAAUAAGCGACUAAAUACGUAAUUAUAGCCUAUCAUAAAUACCCCACACUUAAGCCAUUGCUUGUUCUCGAGAAAUCAAACUACACUUUUUUAUAGACACGAUAUUUUUAAACAAUUCUCCUAACUUAUCACACCAAGAGUAUCUAAAAUAGACUAAGUACGAAACCGUAACAUAUUCAUCUCAAGAUUUGACUUACAAGUACCACGUAUUAUUCACAACUCACACACUUACUCUAACAUAGAGUUCACUAACAAUAGCUUUCCUUCAUGAAUCAAGUGCCCUCACACAAUAAAAGAGAGUAGUUUCAUACAAUAAAAUUUAAGAACACUUAUGAACUCAAGAUAGAAAGAAUUUACUCACUCUCAAAAAUAACAUUCAUAUGCCACAAAAGAUGCACCAUAAGCUUGACUGUAGUGUACUACUCCACUAAUCGAGCUCAUUCAAUCUAGGAUCAAUUAGGACUUUAUUUGGUUGUAAUGUAGGCUACGUGACGGGUAGGAUAGAUAUAAGAGUGACUAUACCAUCCUAAGAACUUUAAUAGGUAAGACUUGUAAUGUGCCAAAGAAACAUGAUUACAUGCUCAAAGGGGUAACUAUGAUAUAUAAUAAUUAGGCAGGUAAAAUAUACAUAUCUGGCUCAAUAAAGAAAUGUCUAUAUUACUUUCAAGACUGAAUAAAACUACUAUCGCUUUGCAAACACACGAGGAAGUUCUAAGCAUCCAAUGUAAUGCACAAAAUAACACCCAACCCUCACACACACAUGACACAUAACUUACUCAGGAUUGGAUUCAUCAAGACACUCUAGUUAAAGUAGUUAAGCAAAUUUAAAAUCUUACAAUUUAAGGUACUUAUACAAUAGUCAAAUACUGAGCCUAAGCUUCACAACUAAAGUUCUCACUAUUCUCAAGGCAUAACAAAGUCAAAAGAUAUUGCUUAAAUUCAAAACACAACAUAAUGGAUCCUAUUCCUAAAAAAACUAACUACAUCCUAUUCAAAUAAAACCCUUGAGAAAAGAACCGUGACAGAAAGAAAAACCAAGGGGGAAUUGUUACACUACCUAAUUAAAGACUUCUUAUUUUAUUCUUUUCUUUAGACUUAAAUCCCUCAAGAAAAUUGUAUAAUAGAUCCAUCGUCGGGAAAAUUCCAAUAUUUUCUGUUUAGAAAAAAUUAUUCAAAUAAAUUAAUACAACUAAAAUAGCAUAGAAAGUCACCUAGACAAUCUCCUCACCCCACACUUAAAAUUGUGCAUUGUCCUCAAUGCACACCAUAACUAAUAAAAAGGUAAAAGAGACUCCCUAGUAGACCAAAGACCGAAGCACUAAUAGCUCAUGAGGUACUUAGACUUCUCCCAAGCUUGGUCCUUUGUGCGGGUACCUCACACUUAGUUCCAACAAUUUGGUUUGUUGUUGCAUCCUUCCAAUACCUUUGCUUUCCAUGCUCCUAGAAAAUAAAAAAUUGAUACUACAAAAAUAAUACUAUUUUAAAAAAUAAAAAAAUAAAUAAAAGAAAGCAAUAAAGUUGGGUUGCCUCCCAACAAGCACUUGAUUUAAUAUCGCGGCAUAAUUAAAAAAAUAAAAUAAAAGAAAGCAAUAAAGCAAGGUUGCCUCCCGACAAGCACUUGAUUUAACGUCACGGCACGACGCGAAUCACUUUUUGCCUCCACCUCGACCUUAUGAAUUGAACCCCCAAUUUGGCAUUAGGUUUUCGGCUAUGCUCCAAGGGUGGAGGAACAAGUCUAAUUGGCCCAAGCAACCAUUGUACUAUUAUAAACUUCUUGUCUUUUAGAUGAGGUAUGUAGUCAUGUCUUUCUAGCAAGAAAAAUUUCAGAACGUAGGCACCUUGUUCCUCAUUCCUUGACUUCUCAAUCAGUUUAGAUGGCUCUAUUUCCAUAUCGUCAUCCAAGCACAAUGUAGAAAAAUGUUUGGAGUGAGGACCAAUGCGCUCACAUACGUAAACUUCAGGACUUUCAACAUCCUCAACAUCAAUGAUACUAGAGUCAACAAAAUUUGUAUCCUCAAUGUCCUUGGAUGACUCUAGUCUCACUUCUUCAACAUUGACAUCCUCAAAUUCUAGUUGGUUAGAUUGUUGGUUUUCUACUCUUACCUCUUCCAUUUGCACCUCAAUUUCAGCAUCUAAUUCAUGAUCUUCUUGUAUACUAUCCACAAUAUUGGCUUGUUGAGCAUUAAAUACCUCAUCUAGUUGACUCACUUGUGCCUCUAGGUUGCCAAUAACAACAUUUUGCCUUUGUAUGUGCAGUUGUUUCUCAUCUUUUUGUUCCAAAAGGAACCUUAGCAUAUUCUUGACCUCUUUCAGGUCAUCAUCCCUGGGUUCUUUGUUCCUAUUAACUUCACAAGAAAAGGUAGCACAAUCAUAGCAAGGGAUUGGUGGAAAAUAAGAAAUAUAAGCAUAACCAUAAAAGUGACCAUAUUGACCACCACGCAUAUCACUUACAUUUCACAUAUUGGUGCACAUAACUCGCUCUUGGGAAUAUUUUGAUAAUUUUGCCAUAGGUGAUUUUCUCCACAAUAUGCAUAAGGAGGAUUAAAGGUAGAAUUACUCACAUCCAAAUUCCAAUAAUUCCAGGAUGCCAUAUUUCUCAAAUUAACAAGUAAAACAAAAAUAUAAAAAAAUGAAAUACAACAAAAGAAAAAUAAAAGUUCAAACUUGCAAUCUAGCAAUAUGUACACAUAUAACUACACCAUUAGUUCCCCAGCAAUGAUGCUAAAUUUUGAUCACGCCCAACUCUAGCCCUAAAAAGGAUAAGCAUUCGCUGCAAAUAUAAUCCGGUCUAGAAGCCCGGAGUCGAAUCCCACAGAGAACUAGGGCUUAGCUAUAUAUGUUUAAUAUCACCAAAAAGACAAGUUUGAACAAUUCUCUUAAUUAUAAAUAUUGAGAUUUAUACUUCUAACUAAUUACUAGCAAAUAUUACAAAGCGGUAUAAUUAUCAACUAACGAGACAAAGGGUUAGAGACUAAAUUAAGGAGGUCUAGAGUUAUUAUUUCUCCAAUGGUUGGAAUCCUUCUAGCUAUGUUCCCUGCAAUUUUUGCCAAUGUAUUCUCUACUGAUCGUGAGUACUUUAGGUGCCGUAAUUCUCUCUCGAGCAACCACAACAAUUAGUAGACAUAUUCUCUUGAACUAUGCUAGUUGGCUUUAUCUAAGAGCUGAUUAUGAUCACGUCAAUGCUUUGUUAUUUCUAAACCUGCCUUUAAACCCGGUGCAUUGAUUUCUCACAUAUGUUAGGAGUGAAGUUGUUCAACAACCACCAAAAUAUGUAUCCUUUCUUAAGAAACACAUAAUAAAUAGGCAAAGUCAAUCGAUGGCCAUUCAGUCAACAACAAUAAACACGUAGUUGAACAAGUAGAGAAAUCCAACGGCUCAAUUAUAUAAAAACAUAACAAGAAUUUAUCCUACAAAAGGUUCCAUCAAAAUCCUAGAUAACAAAUUAGCUAUCCAUAAUAGUAUGUAGAACUAUAAUACUAAAGUCAUAACCAACAAUGAAAAAAUAGGAAGAGGAAGAAAAAACUCGUAAAAGAAUCUCUGCCUUGCUCCUAUUGCGUCCCUGCCUCCUUAGGUCGAAUUUGUGUCCAAAAUCGGUCUCCUCCCCUCAAAAUACCAUUUUCCAUGUAUAUAUACAAAGUAGUGUCGGGCCCAAAUAAUUAUACUUUCUCCUAUGUAUAACGGACAUGUUUUCAGGCCUGGGAGGCGUGGUCCGGGCACGGCACGGAUGCAGUAUUUGGCAAGUAUACUGCCUCAGCCCGCCUCAGGUCCAUGGUCGCGGUUUCAACCGCAUUUUUCACCUUGUUUCGUUUGGAAUUUAGAGAAAUAUAAAAUAUGAAAGUUGUAUCCCUUUGAAUUAUCUUUUCAACCAUACAUUGUGGAGCUCAAAUGGAGUUCUAAGCAAAAGGUUAUGUGUAUUUUCCUAGACAAUAUACAACAUUCCUACUCGAUUCUUUAUUUUAUUGCUCUAUCAUCUGUUGAUCCCCGAAUACGAUCCCGACUCAAUUCCUUGGGCUUUUACUCAAACUUCAAAGCUCCAAAUUACUUGAAUUCAUUCCAUAUCAUUAUAUUGCUCGAAAUCACUCCUACAAGACAUAACACACAAUUAGUGUAAGAAACUAGCGAUUAAAACUCAAACUCAAUUAAAGUGAAGUAAAUUUGAGUGUAAUAAGCGAUUAAAAUACGUAAUUAUAGCCCAUCACCAUGCAUUUUGAUCAUUUUUUCUUUAUUUACCGUAUUAGCUUAGAAUUAAUUAGUUGAAUUAGUUAAUUGAAGUUAUAUUUACAUUAUGCAAUUACUUUGAAUUGAUUUGGACCAUUUGGAGUCAGAUACUCGUGGCAAGAAUGUGGUAUUGAGUUGAUUAAGUUGGUUCGAGGUAAGUGGCUUGCUUAACCUUGCAUGGGGGAACUCCCCUUAGGAUUUUGUAUUGUUGAUAUAUGAGAUACCUUGUAUGUAAGGUGAUGAGUGCGCACAUGCGCUAAUUGUUGAAAAUCAUGUUUUCAUUAAGUAACUAUAACUGAGUUUUUAUUUCCUAUUUAUGCUACAUGCAAUGUAAUCUUACUGUAAGCUUAGGGAAGCAUGUCUAAUUGACUUAAUUGCCUUACGUGCUGAAAUUGCUUAAUUGAAUUCCGUGUAACAUGCUAGGUUAGAAUUAUAUGCUUAACUUGGUAUGGAAUUUUGAUGGAAUUGAAUAUUCUUCGUAUUUCUACUAUGUGUUUACUUUGGGACUACGGGACAGUAUCCUGGGAGAUCCUCCAAUAUGCUUACUUUGGGACUACAGAUUUGUAUUUCGGGAGAUUCCUCUGCACUUUUAUAUUGGAACUACGAGACUGCACCCGGCAGAUUCCCCCAGUACUGGGUAUUUAUAUUUGGGACUACGGAUCGGGAUUCCGAUAGAUCCCCACGCAGUAUGAGUUGGACUAUGGGAUGGUAUCCCAAGAGAUCCAUUGGAUAUUUAUAUUUGGGACUAUAGGAUGGUAUCCUGGGAGAUCCCCCCUUGUUAUCUCUAUGUUGAGCUGUAUUCCUUCUGUAAUUAUUUUGUCUCUAUUGUAGUUGUUGUUGCUCUUAUUACCCUUUAUUACUUUCAUACUGCUUCUUUUCCUUAUAUAUUAUUGUAUAUGACUGUUAAGGCCCUGAAAUUCCUCGUCACUGCCCGACUAAGGUUAGGCUUGGCAUUUACUAAGUACCGCUAUGGAGUACUCAUGCCCUUUCCUGCACAUAUUUUUUAUGUGUAG